rnacentral:rRNA from 1 species
UACGGGGGGGGGCAAGCGUUGUCCGGAAUCAUUGGGCGUAAAGAGCGUGUAGGCGGCCAGAAAAGUCCGCUGUGAAAACUCGAGGCUCAACUUCGAGCUGUCGGUGGAAACUUUCUGGCUAGAGUCCGGAAGAGGAGAAUGGAAUUCCUGGUGUAGCGGUGAAAUGCGCAGAUAUCAGGAGGAACACCGGUGGCGAAGGCGGGUCUCUGGGCCGAAACUGACGCUGAGGAGCGAAAGGCGUGGGGAGCAAACAGG